rnacentral:rRNA from 1 species
GUCCACGCCCUAAACGAUGUCGACUGGAUGUUGGUCACAAUUUGGUGAUCAGUAUCGAAGCUAACGCGUUAAGUCGACCGCCUGGGGAGUACGCACGCAAGUGUGAAACUCAAAGGAAUUGACGGGGGCCCGCACAAGCGGUGGAGUAUGUGGUUUAAUUCGAUGCAACGCGCAGAACCUUACCUGGCCUUGACAUGUCCGGAAUCCUUCAGAGAUGAGGGAGUGCCUUCGGGAAUCGGAACACAGGUGCUGCAUGGCUGUCGU